CACGAACCGGAUUAGAUACCCGGGUAGUCCUAGGUGUAAACGCUGUGAACUUGGUGUCGGGGAUCCGUAAUGGGUUCUCGGUGCCGGAGUGAAGAUGUUAAGUUCACUGCCUGGGGAGUACGGUCGCAAGGCUGAAACUUAAAGGAAUUGGCGGGGGAGCACCGCAACGGGAGGAGCGUGCGGUUUAAUUGGAUUCAACGCCGGAAAACUCACCAAGGCCGACUGUUAGAUGAAGAUCAGCGUAAUGAGCUUAUCGGAUUUUCAGAGAGGUGGUGCAUGGCCGUCGUCAGUUCGUACUGUAAAGCGUUCUGUUAAGUCAGAUAACGAACGAGACCCUCAUCUUUAUUUGCUACCCCAUUCCCCGGAAUGGGCGCACUAUAGAGAGACCGCUGGUGUGAAACCAGAGGAAGGCGAGGGCAACGACAGGUCAGUAUGCCCCGAAUGUCUUGGGCUACACGCGCGCUACAAAGGACAGGACAAUGGGAUGCUAGGCCGAGAGGCAUUCACGCUAACCCGAAACCUGUUCAUAGUUCGGAUUGAGGGCUGUAACUCGCCCUCAUGAAGCUGGA
rnacentral:rRNA from 1 species